rnacentral:lncRNA from 1 species
CUGAAUUUAAUAAACAAAAGGAAAAGAUGCUUAAUUUGACUAGUGAAUUAAGACACCAGAAGGACUGGAUACACACCUUUACUGACAAGUUCAAUGAACAAAAUAAAUUGAUUUUUAAUUUGACUGGUGAUUCAAAGGAACACGAAGAUUUGAUACAAAACUUGACUAGCCAUUUGAACAACCAAUUGGA